GAUGAACGCCGGCGGCGUGCCUAAUACAUGCAAGUCGAGCGAACAGACGAGGAGCUUGCUCCUCUGACGUUAGCGGCGGACGGGUGAGUAACACGUGGAUAACCUACCUAUAAGACUGGGAUAACUUCGGGAAACCGGAGCUAAUACCGGAUAAUAUAUUGAACCGCAUGGUUCAAUAGUGAAAGACGGUUUUGCUGUCACUUAUAGAUGGAUCCGCGCCGCAUUAGCUAGUUGGUAAGGUAACGGCUUACCAAGGCAACGAUGCGUAGCCGACCUGAGAGGGUGAUCGGCCACACUGGAACUGAGACACGGUCCAGACUCCUACGGGAGGCAGCAGUAGGGAAUCUUCCGCAAUGGGCGAAAGCCUGACGGGGCAACGCCGCGUGAGUGAUGAAGGUCUUCGGAUCGUAAAACUCUGUUAUUAGGGAAGAACAAAUGUGUAAGUAACUAUGCACGUCUUGACGGUACCUAAUCAGAAAGCCACGGCUAACUACGUG
rnacentral:rRNA from 1 species